GAUGUCUUAAGGAGUAUUUUUAGAUAAGCAAAUUUAAUAUAAUAGUUAUUUUGCCUGUUUCCCAUGCCUCCGUAUUCAAAUGAGUCAAAUUGUUCUGAUUUUCAAGCACGCUGUGUGAUUUACUAACACUUGAUGAAUUUGCAUGUAAUAAAUAUAAUAUGUAGUCCGUGAUAAUAAAAGUGAAAUAAAAGAAAAAAAACGAAAAAAGUUGAAUGAAGCCUGUAUGGUCCGAAGUGUGUCAGUAUUGACAUACACAUUGCAUCAACUAUGUCGUUAGACUUUUUAUCUCUGAAGGGUAUCUAUUCCCCUU
rnacentral:lncRNA from 1 species